GUUUUUUCUCAUAAAUUUUGUCUCUUCCCUUUGUUCAACAAAAUCAUGAAGGCAGAGGCAUACUGCUGCCAAUUCAAGUUUUGCUUUCUUUGUUGCUGCCUCCCUUACAGAUUUCAAAGACGUUGCUGCUAUUAUUCUUGUGGUGAUGAUGAUGGUGAGUCUCCGAAGCCAAACAAGAAACGCCGGAUAUCGUGAUGAUGUCAAAGCUUGUUAUUCUGCUACUGCAAAAAUGAAACUCAAGUUUCCAAUGCCACAGGAGAAGAAAUCCAAGGCAAAGAACCAAGAGUGCUCGAUAUCUAUCAAAAUGAAUUGUUAGAAAUGCAAGAAGCUCCACCAAUUACACAUCAGUUUCGACAGCAAUUCGUUUUGUUAACUCUUCUAUUUGUAUAAAUUAUCACUUAAUAG